GGUGGUGUAGACAGAAUGUAGUGGGAUGUACACAGAAAAGGGACAACGCUCCCACCAGUGUGGAAAGUCAAUUGCAAUUCUGCUUGUCACUUGCAAUGGAAGAACGAUGAUUGGGUAGACUAGGAGCUACCUUGUCCAGAAGCAGCCAGGCUUAAUAUGCUCCUUUUUCAGCCAUAGACACAAAAGCAACAUCCAUUCAAUUAAAAUCCAAAUGCAAUAACAACCACAACCAACAUAAAACUCAAAUAUCCACAACGUGCUAUCAAUUUACAUAUCACAAGGAUACAAUAUUUAAGGAGAAUAUUGUUCUCUUUUCAAAAGUGAGCACACAUUGCUUGUUUGCCCCAUAUUGGUUAUUUGGAACAUCCUGAGAGAAUGGAGCAAGCUCAAGAAAGAGCUGCUGGUGGCACUUUAGAGAGUCCCUAAUUUUGCAGGAGCUUGUGAGAUCUUACCAGCUGGUAUCAAAAACAACACAGGCUUUUGUGGCUCCUUUAAAUGUUAACAAAUUAUUGUUUUUAUCAUGAAUAAUAAUUUAUUAUCAUUCAUGGAUUAUGGUCCACUUAAUCAAUGCGGCUAAACGGAAGCUGCUGAACCAUUAGACUUGGACUGGAGAUUGGGAGCAGCUCUGCCUGACUGCGGAAAGUAAUUAGGUGUGCAUAAACACUAUUCAUCUUGUUUUGCCCAUUCAUUCCUUACAUGGCUGGCAGUAGAUCACACAGACGCUUGAUUGUAUAUUUUACUCCCUUCUGUAGACCUUGUUUGCAUUAAAUUUUGCAUAGUGAUGGCUUUUGCAUUGAUGUGUCUUCUGCCCUCACUUAGUAACAGUUAAUACACACGAUUAUUCUUUCUGUUGUGUGUGUGUUUGUAAUUUGCCAAGUUACAGUACUUUGUGUAUCUAAUUAAACAGGUUUUGAUCCACAGAAGCUUAUAACACACGUUUGGUCUCCAGUCAGGAGGAGCUGCAGCCAUUCUUUCUGAGGUAUCUGGCUCAGGGAAACAUAUUCCCCUAGUAGGCAAGUAGGAAGAGAAGAUUAAGGUUCCUUUUGCUCCCCUUCAGCAGUUGAAGAACACAUGACUAAGACUUGUUGAACAGUUACAGGUCAGCUUGGGGGUUAAAAGAAGUGGCGGGCUCAGCUCUACAGCGCCCCUUUCAUCAUGGCAGGAAAGGGGACUGCAGCCCAGCUGAAUCAAAUGGCUUGGAUAACCAACGAGAUUAUAUAAUGCAUCUGAAUCUUACUCUGAGCAGGUUGUUGCUGGGAGCAGUAGUACAACUCUUGGAAGUUCACUGCCUGCCUCUGAUGUUUUGUCUACCCAUUCCAAAAUCUACCUGCCUGCCUUGGCCCACAUCUGUUUGGGCCCCUUGGAUCCAUAGUUAUUCUCAUGGACUUGACCCAAACUUAGUUAAGUUGUUUGGCUUCUACCAC